rnacentral:rRNA from 1 species
GAUGAACGCUAGCGGGAGGCUUAACACAUGCAAGUCGAGGGGCAGCACGGGGUAACAAUACUCUGGUGGCGACCGGCAAACGGGUGAGUAACGCGUAUGUAACCUACCCUGUACAGGGGGAUAACCCGGAGAAAUUCGGACUAAUAUCCCAUAACAAUAUCUGGAGGCAUCUUUGGAUAUUUAAAGUUCUGGCGGUACGGGAUGGGCGUGCGUAACAUUAGCUAGUUGGUAAGGUAACGGCCUACCAAGGCUUUGAUGUUUAGGGGUCCUGAGAGGGUGGUCCCCCACACUGGUACUGAGACACGGACCAGACUCCUACGGGAGGCAGCAGUGAGGAAUAUUGGUCAAUGGGCGCAAGCCUGAACCAGCCAUCCCGCGUGCAGGAAGACGGCCCUAUGGGUUGUAAACUGCUUUUCCAGGGAGAGAAACUUGCGCACGUGUUGCGCAAUUGACGGUACCCUGGGAAUAAGCAUCGGCUAACUCCGUG